rnacentral:ncRNA from 1 species
UGAGGUAGAGGUGCGAUGCUGAUGAGUAAGUAGUCCGAGGAUGACAACGGGGAAGACUACAGAAAGGCAAGAUCGCCGAAGUGUAAAGUCAUGUCUCUGACUUUAUGCUGGGCUGACGGGAAAUACUCGUCAGACUGCCAUACAUAUUUACGUAUGGAGCGCUCCAA